UACAAAUCAGGGUAAUCUAGAAUUCAGACGACAAGGUGUGUUGUCCCUGAGAGCCAUUUCGUGUCACGCCUCCAAUGUCCCCCUCAUGUUCCCAAUACUUUAGUCGAGUCAAGGGGACAUUGUAAGUGGACAGGGACCAAAAUGUUCACAUAAGUGUCAUCUGAGGGACCCUGGAAACUAGGCAGAUUAGUAUAUGUAGAAGUUCCCUUCCGGCCUGUAGGUUUAGUCAGUUGUGUUUUUGUUUUGUUUUGUUUUGUUUUGUUUGGGAUUCUGGUCAUACAACAAGCAAAGAAAGCUAAUGCUGUCACUGUUGUAUAGAUCAUUCUGGAUAAUGCCCUCCUGGUGAUAACUGAGUGUGGGACAUCAUACUGUGGACUGCUGCAGGACAGCGGGCCACUCCUGGAUCCUUCCACUACUCUGGUGAUUUCCCAGUGCGGUCCACCCCCCGAGACUUCCCAAAAGGUGAAUGGACGUGUGGGAUCCAACCUGCAAGUUUAUCCCUGGCAGAGAGUCGAACGAGGACUGAAGCCAAAAGACACAGAUCAUUGGGAAGAGGAAG
rnacentral:lncRNA from 1 species